CCUAUAGAGACGUAAAAUGAGUUCACGUGGAAAUAGUGACUACUGAGUUUCCGUCUAGGUCAAAGCGUUGAUGUUGAUCGAACGGAAACUACUUGUAAACUCUCAGGAAAAACUCGGAUUUGAAAAGGAAAGGGUAGCAAUGAGAGGGAUAUGGCGAAAAAGUUGAACAAGGAGAAAAACAAAUAGAAGAGGAGCAAGAAGGGCAACGUCAAACGACUACGAUUAUAAUUAGUUACAUCCUCCAACAGAAAUUUUUGAGACGGAAAAUUCCUUCAAUGACGCUAAUGGAUUAGGAUUAGUGUGAUAAAGUUGUUUCUUAACGAAAGAAAAGGCAAACAUAACGAUGUUGCCGUUUUUGAUGUGGGUUGUGGGGAAUGUACUAUCCCCAAACAAAAUCGAUGUUGUCCUGAAAACUUGAAACCGAUGUUUAGGGAUUUGAAUAUACUCCAUACUUACGAUUAAGGUUCAUCCAUUUAUGGUCAUACGUUGUGGAGCUUGUAUACGUGAGUUUAGAAGAAACCAGGGUUCGGAUGAUUUGGAUCCUUGGUCGGCGGAUAAGUUAUAUGAUGAUAACGAAAAAGUGAAAAAGGAAGAGGUAAACAUCAUGACACC